GAUUGUGGUUCACUUCUAAAAUCCGGAUCAUCAGAUGGCUCUUUCGAUGUAACAUUUGGGAUCUUGAUCAUUCGUUGUUGGUUGUUUGACGUGCGAGUGAUUGAUAGUGUUCUUGUUUUCGGGGGUGACAUCUUUGGGGGUUGGGUUUGAUUCCUCUUUUGUUGAUUGAUUAUCUUUUGUGAAUUGAAUCAUUUGGUUCUUUUCCUUUAUCCCCACGUAUCUUAUACUUAUUAUCAACUACUCUUACUGGGAAUUAACUGCAAAACCGUAGAGGAGUUUAUAUUUCUUCCUCAUCUAUAUGUUCUUCAAUUCUAAAGUUCCUUCUUCUAUCAAGAAUUCAAGCAAAACUUAUCGCUUAUGCAAAAGAUGAACUUAUCGGGUUUGUUCAGUCGUUCGUUUCCAGGGAAACAAUGAUGAUUCUUAGGAUGUUGAGGAUGAAAACGAUGAAUAAUUUCUUUUGGAAAGAAGAUAGUCAUCGUGGACCUGCCACUACUCUUGGCUGCAGUACUACUGUUCCACCACCACCUGCUCGACAAAUUGUCCCAAUAGUGCCACUGCAACCCGCCAAGGUCGCAGCUAUGUUUGAAAAACCUACGCCGUUGGUUACACCAGCAGCCUUUGAGGAAGACGAGGAGAUCAUAAAAUCCGUGGUGCAGGGGAAAAUGCCGUCGUACUCUUUGGAAUCGAAACUCGGUGAUGGGAGAUACAUGAAUUCCUGAUAAUAUCUUUAGUAUGAAACUUAUUAUGCGCAACUUCUUCGACAAUACGGCUACAGUGUAGAAGGCAAUGUCAUUACCCUCAUCUCCCCAUGGGUUGAGGAGGCAGGCUCCAAAAAGUAGUGGGCCGGACAGGACGAAUAAUGAAUUGUUUGCAACCUGGAACAGGAUUCUAGAAUCACAUAUGUAUCAGAAUAAGCCUCUUCUACCUUUUGAAGAAUGGAAUAUAGACUUCUCAGAGUUGACUGUUGGCACUCGAGUUGGAAUAGGCCUGUAUUGACUGCACAUUUGCUCCUUGGUCUCAUGCUUUGUAGACUAGAAUGCUAUUGCUGGUGGAUCAUGCUCUGCCAACUUUAAUGUAUGAGCAACCUAGCUCAUCCUUUGUCAUCAUCUUAUGAAGUCCUUGAUCCUUUUGGGCGUUAAUUAGCAUUAAAUGAAGAUCAGAUAUAUCUGAUUCACUUCAGCCAAUGGAGGAUUCUACAGGGGGUGGGUACUUGGGGACCGUAUUCAAGUAAACCUAAGCAAAUGAAGGUUCAUAUGUGUUGUAUGAGGGAGCGAGGGAAGUAGAUCACCCUUAGCUAUCAGAAUAAGCCUCUUCUACCUUUUGAAAAAUAAAAUAUAGACUUCUCAAAGUUGAUGAGUCGGAAUAGGUAAGCAUUGAACUUUCACAUUUUUGUAGUAGUGCUUAUAUAUUUCAGCUUCUUUCUUUGUUUAUUUGUUAAGUUCUGCGACAACAUAUUUUUUUAGUGCCACUAAUAGGCCUGCAUUGACUGCACAUUUGCUCCUUGGUCUCAUGCUUUGUAGACUAGAAUGCUAUGGCUGGUGGAUCAUGCUCUGCCAACUUUAAUGUACGAGCAACCUAGCUCAUCCUUUGUCAUCAUCUCAUGAAGUCUUUGAUCCUUUUGUGCGUUAAUUAGCAUUAAAUGAAGAUUGGAUAUAUCUUCUUCACUUCAGCCAAUGGAGGAUUCUACAGAGGCAUGGAUACUUGGGGACCGUAUUCAAGUAAACCUAAGCAAAUGAAGGUUCAUAUGUGUUGUAUGAGGGAGCGAGGGAAGUAGAUCUCCCUUAGCUAUCAGAAUAAGCCUCUUCUACCUUUUGAAGAAUGGAAUAUAGACUUCUCAGAGUUGAUUGUUGGCACUCUAGUUGGAAUAGACUAGAAUGCUAUUGCUGGUGGAUCAUGAUCUGCCAACUUUAAUGUAUGAGCAACCUAGCUCAUCCUUUGUCAUCAUCUCAUGAAGUCCUUGAUCCUUUUGUGCGUUAAUUAGCAUUAAAUGAAGAUCGGAUAUAUCUGAUUCACUUCAGCCAAUGGAGGAUUCUACAGGGGGAUGGAUACUUGGGGACCGUAUUCAAGUAAACCUAAGCAAAUGAAGGUUCAUAUGUGUUGUAUGAGGGAGCGAGGGAAGUAGAUCACCCUUAGCUAUCAGAAUAAGCCUCUUCUACCUUUUGAAGAAUAAAAUAUAGACUUCUCAAAGUUGAUGAGUCGGAAUAGAUUUGCUCCUUCGUCUCAUGCUUUGUAGACUAGAAUGCUAUGGCUGGUGGAUCAUGCUCUGCCAACUUUAAUGUACGAGCAACCUAGCUCAUCCUUUGUCAUCAUCUCAUGAAGUCUUUGAUCCUUUUGUGCAUUAGUUAGCAUUAAAUGAAGAUCGGAUAUAUCUGCUUCACUUCAGCCAAUGGAGGAUUCUACAGAGGGAUGGAUACUUGGGGACCAUAUUCAAGUAAACCUAAGCAAAUGAAGGUUCAUGUGUGUUGUGUGAGGGAGCGAGGGAAGUAGAUCACCCUUAGCUAUCAGAAUAAGCCUCUUCUACCUUUUGAAGAAUGGAAUAUAGGCUUCUCUGAGUUGAUUGUUGGCACUCGGGUUGGAAUAGGCAAGCAUUGUACUUGCAUAUUUUUGUAGUAGUGGUUAUAUAUUUCAGCUUCUUUCUUUGUUUAUUUGUUAAUUUCUUCGAUAACAUAUUUCUCUAGUGCCACUAAUAGGCCUGCAUUGACUGUGCAUUUACUCCUUGGUCUCAUGCUUUGCAGACUAGAAUGCUAUUGCUUGUGGAUCAUGCUCUGACAACUUUAAUGUAUGAGCAACCUAGCUCAUCCUUUGUCAUCAUCUCAUGAAGUCUUUGAUCCUUUUGUGCAUUAAUUAGUAUUAAAUGAAGAUCGGAUAUAUCUGCUUCACUUCAAAUAAUGGAGGAUUCUACAAGGGGGAUGGAUACGUGGGGACCGUAUUCAAGUAAACCUAAUAGAAAAUCGGAUAUGUCAGUAGCUAUGACUGCUGCAGCUUUUAUGGCAGGAGCUCUUGGAGCUGCUCAGACUGGCAGCUCAUUCAGUCAAUCUGGAGUAGAUUCUUUAAUGCUACAUAUGUUCAAAUUGUCUAGGAGCCAACUGAAUGAUGUAAUGUCUGAGUUUAAGGUCAGGAUGUUGAUUAAA